rnacentral:tRNA from 1 species
AAGAUAGGAGUCGAACCUACAACUGGAAGAUCAAAACUUCUCGUAAUCC